GAUGAACGCUGGCGGCGUGCCUAAUACAUGCAAGUCGAGCGAACAGACGAGGAGCUUGCACCUCUGACGUUAGCGGCGGACGGGUGAGUAACACGUGGAUAACCUACCUAUAAGACUGGGAUAACUUCGGGAAACCGGAGCUAAUACCGGAUAAUAUCUUUAACCACAUGGUUCAAUAGUGAAAGACGCUUUUGCUGUACCUUAUGAUGAGCUCCGGUUCUCUUUAGCAAGUUGUGAGGGUAACGGCCACCAAGGGGAAGGAUGCGUGCCCGACUGGAAGGGGUGACGGCCCAAAUGGGAAUGGAGCAACGCCCCAGACUCCAACGGGAGGAAGCAGUAGGGAAUCUUCCGCAAGGGGCGAAAUCCUGACGGAGCAACGCGGCGGGAUUGAUGAAGGUCUCCGGAUCUAAAACCCUUGUUAUUAGGGAAGAACAAAUGUGUAAUUAACUAUGCACGUAUUGACGGUACCUAAUCAGAAAGCCACGGCUAACUACGUG
rnacentral:rRNA from 1 species